CCUACGGGUGGCUGCAGUGGGGAAUAUUGGACAAUGGGCGAAAGCCUGAUCCAGCCAUGUCGCGUGUGUGAAGAAGGCCUUCGGGUUGUAAAGCACUUUCAGUGGGGAAGAAAGCCUUGGGGCUAAUACCCUCGAGGAAGGACAUCACCCACAGAAGAAGCACCGGCUAACUCCGUGCCAGCAGCCGCGGUAAUACGGAGGGUGCGAGCGUUAAUCGGAAUUACUGGGCGUAAAGCGCGCGUAGGCGGUCUGAUAAGCCGGUUGUGAAAGCCCCGGGCUCAACCUGGGAACGGCAUCCGGAACUGUCAGGCUAGAGUGCAGGAGAGGAAGGUAGAAUUCCCGGUGUAGCGGUGAAAUGCGUAGAGAUCGGGAGGAAUACCAGUGGCGAAGGCGGCCUUCUGGACUGACACUGACGCUGAGGUGCGAAAGCGUGGGUAGCAAACAGGAUUAGAUACCGUGUAGUC
rnacentral:rRNA from 1 species